rnacentral:rRNA from 1 species
UACGGAGGGUGCAAGCGUUAUCCGGAUUCACUGGGUUUAAAGGGUGCGUAGGCGGUUCGUUAAGUCUGUCGUGAAAUCCCCGGGCUCAACCUGGGAAUGGCGAUGGAUACUGGCGAGCUAGAGUGUGUCAGAGGAUGGUGGAAUUCCCGGUGUAGCGGUGAAAUGCGUAGAGAUCGGGAGGAACAUCAGUGGCGAAGGCGGCCAUCUGGGACAACACUGACGCUGAAGCACGAAAGCGUGGGGAGCAAACAGG